rnacentral:rRNA from 1 species
ACGGCCAUACCAUGCUGAAUACAUCGGUUCUCGUUAGAUCACCGAAGUCAAACAUCAUUGGGCGCGGUCAGUACUUUUUUGACCACCUGGGAACACCGCUGCCG